rnacentral:tRNA from 2 species
AUUCAUUUAGUAUAAAUAAAGUAUUUUAAGCUUCCAACUUAAAGGUUUUUUAAAAGUUGAAUA